GCAAGCGUUAAUCGGAAUUACUGGGCGUAAAGCGCACGCAGGCGGUUUGUUAAGUCAGAUGUGAAAUCCCCGAGCUUAACUUGGGAACUGCAUUUGAAACUGGCAAGCUAGAGUCUUGUAGAGGGGGGUAGAAUUCCAGGUGUAGCGGUGAAAUGCGUAGAGAUCUGGAGGAAUACCGGUGGCGAAGGCGGCCCCCUGGACAAAGACUGACGCUCAGGUGCGAAAGCGUGGGGAGCAAACAGGAUUAGAUACUCUGGUAGUCCACGCUGUAAACGAUGUCGACUUGGAGGUUGUGCCCUUGAGGCGUGGCUUCCGGAGCUAACGCGUUAAGUCGACCGCCUGGGGAGUACGGCCGCAAGGUUAAAACUCAAAUGAAUUGACGGGGGCCCGCACAAGCGGUGGAGCAUGUGGUUUAAUUCGAUGCAACGCGAAGAACCUUACCUACUCUUGACAUCCACAGAACUUUCCAGAGAUGGAUUGGUGCCUUCGGGAACUGUGAGACAGGUGCUGCAUGGCUGUCGUCAGCUCGUGUUGUGAAAUGUUGGGUUAAGUCCCGCAACGAGCGCAACCCUUAUCCUUUGUUGCCAGCGCGUAAUGGCGGGAACUCAAAGGAGACUGCCGGUGAUAAACCGGAGGAAGGUGGGGAUGACGUCAAGUCAUCAUGGCCCUUACGAGUAGGGCUACACACGUGCUACAAUGGCAUAUACAAAGAGAAGCGAACUCGCGAGAGCAAGCGGACCUCAUAAAGUAUGUCGUAGUCCGGAUCGGAGUCUGCAACUCGACUCCGUGAAGUCGGAAUCGCUAGUAAUCGUAGAUCAGAAUGCUACGGUGAAUACGUUCCCGGGCCUUGUACACACCGCCCGUCACACCAUGGGAGUGGGUUGCAAAAGAAG
rnacentral:rRNA from 1 species